CCUACGGGAGGCAGCAGUGAGGAAUAUUGGUCAAUGGGCGCAAGUCUGAACCAGCCAAGUAGCGUGAAGGAUGACUGCCCUACGGGUUGUAAACUUCUUUUAUCAAGGAAUAAAAUGAGGCUCGUGAGCCUUUUUGUAUGUACUUUAUGAGUAAGCAUCGGCUAACUCCGUGCCAGCAGCCGCGGUAAUACGGAGGAUCCGAGCGUUAUCCGGAUUUAUUGGGUUUAAAGGGAGCGUAGAUGGGUUGUUAAGUCAGGUGUGAAAGUGUGCGGCUCAACCGUAGAAUUGCAGUUGAUACUGGCAGUCUUGAGAGCAGGAGAGGUAGGCGGAAUUCGUGGUGUAGCGGUGAAAUGCUUAGAUAUCACGAAGAACUCCGAUUGCGAAGGCAGAUUAC
rnacentral:rRNA from 1 species